rnacentral:rRNA from 1 species
CAGUCGCCGCGGUAAUACGUAGGGUGCAAGCGUUAAUCAGAAUUACUGGGCGUAAAGCGUGCGCAGGCGGUUCGUUAAGACAGAUGUGAAAUCCCCGGGCUUAACCUGGGAACUGCAUUUGAAACUGGCAGGCUUGAGUCUUGUAGAGGGGGGUAGAAUUCCAGGUGUAGCGGUGAAAUGCGUAGAGAUCUGGAGGAAUACCGGUGGCGAAGGCGGCCCCCUGGACAAAGACUGACGCUCAGGUGCGAAAGCGUGGGGAGCAAACAGGAUUAGAUACCCGUGUAGUCCCUGUCUCUUAUAC